rfam:Mucor ambiguus DNA, scaffold: scf_mam1_v10212, strain NBRC 6742.
UCCUUGAUGGUCUAGUGGCUAGGAUUCGUCGCUCUCACCGACGCGGCCGGGGUUCAAUUCCCCGUCAGGGAA